AGACAACUCAGCAAGAAAGUAACCAACUUCACCACUUUAUCAUCAUUGCAGAAGGAGGAAAGUCGUGUCUUUUUUGUUUAUUUCUUUGCAGAAUCUUAACACCGGAUGUCUGCACUAUUCACGUUUGACAGGACACUGAGCAAAACCCGGGUGAGAAUGCUGUGAUUGAUCCCACUUUAUUGCAGUUCAGAGGGGAACAAAAGGCUAGCGUGAGCCUCCAGUGACCUCUCCUGCCAGCAGAAAGAAACCCAGCUUCCCCGUAGUGUGUCACAUUGGCUACGAUUCAAAUGGAAUAUGUGGAUCAGACGACCCACUGAGGUGACCCCUAAACAGGAGCAGCUGAAGGAAAAACAAGCAAAACAUACGUGUAUCCAUUUGCCAUCUCAUGCUUGAAGCAUCCUUGAUGAUUCAUCCAUUACACGUUAUGAAAAAAACAUUGUAUUUCUGGUUCACUCAACCCUGUUACCUGAGCAGUUCACCCCUAUGAAAUGUUUGGAAUAUUCUAGACACCACAUGUUCACCAGAUACUCCGCAGAAUCCAGAUUUCUUAAAGCUUGUGUGAAGGAGAAGAGUAUUUAAACUGAGAUUAUGAUGUUGACUGAAAAAGAGGAGUUUAAAUGUACAACCUUGUUAUUUUUGUUAUUAAUUUCAACAAAAUAUCAGAAAAUCAUUAGAUUGUCCUCAUGUCACUGGCUAGUUGCACUGCCCAGUUAACUGCAUUUUGUGUAACUUGCUAAUUUUAUGCUAAAAUCUGUUACUUAUGUUAAGAGCAAAACACAGCUGCUGCCAACAAUGAAAGCAUUGAAGAUGCUGUUAAAAUUGUUAAAUAUAUUGCUUAAUUCUUGCAUAAUUAAUGCAUUACGUAUUUAAAACCAUAUUCAGAUUCUUUAGAUCCAUGUCAAAUGCAUUAGUACAUUUUUCAAAAAUAUUACUGUUAUUAAAAAUAUCCACAUAAAACAUUAUAUACAAUAUUAAUAUGUAUUUAAAAAAAAUAAAAAAUCUUCCAAUGUGU